rnacentral:snoRNA from 12 species
AGCCUUUGUGUUGCCCAUUCACUUUGGAAACUAGUGGAUGUGGUGUCAAAAAAGGCUCAAAUCGAACACUUAUCAGGCUUUUCCUGCCUUUGAUUUUGAUGUCUUAGGCAUAGGAACUGCAUAAGUAACAGCA